rnacentral:pre_miRNA from 15 species
CCACCCACCGCCCUCUGGCUUCUCCUCCCCAACAAUAUCCUGGUGCUGAGUGAGUUGCACACGGAGACUCCAGCAUCAGUGAUUUUGUUGAAGAGGGCGAGCGCUGGCUUCUGGGGCCGUC